AUACGGAGGGUGCAAGCGUUACUCGGAAUCACUGGGCGUAAAGCGCGCGCAGGCGGCUAUUUAAGUUGGAUGUGAAAGCCUACGGCUCAACCGUAGAACUGCAUCCAAAACUAUUUAGCUAGAGUGUGGGAGAGGAAGAUGGAAUUAGGUGUGUAGGGGUAAAAUCCGUAGAGAUAACUAUGAAUACCAAAAGCGAAGGCAAUCUGCUGGAACACUACUGACGCUGAGGCGCGAAAGCGUGGGGAGCAAACGGGAUUAGAAACCCCAGUGUCC
rnacentral:rRNA from 1 species